UGACCGAAAUUUUUACCGAGAUUAAGAUAUCUGAGUUAAUCAUUCCUCACUUGAUUGUUAAGGGUUUUCAUGGUUAAACAGGGCCAUGUUGUGACCACGCCUGGAUACAGUGAUUUUAUCCUCCUGGAUCAAGCUGGACAAAGCAGAACAUAGAGUAUUUGAUUAUUUUCUAGCCAGCCCUGGGGUGAAACAGGCUCUGUCCAUUUUUUUAUCAUAGUUUAUUCUGGAUGCAGCCAUAUUGAUUCUGGCUUCUUAUAUCUCGAGCCUCCUCAG
rnacentral:lncRNA from 1 species